GGAAAGGAGUCGGGGAAGGUGUUGUUGAGAUCUCCAAGACCCAGGCAGAGCUCUUUCUGGCAAAGGGUGCAUGUGGCUGUGAGCGUGGAACUCGUGCUUUCAGGGCCGAAGACUGCGCCCUGCUUCAGCCCCUUGGCACUCCUUUGCCUUCUGGACACCAGGACUAAAGCAUUGCAGGAAAGGCCCCUGGGCAGUAAGCCACAAGAGAAAUGGGGACAUUCUAUAAAGACCAUGGCUUUCAAAGCAGAAUCAGGACUCUAGCUGAGGGUGGCACCAUAUAUUCGGCAGCGCUCCCCAGGUGGCAUCUGGACCCUGGCCCUUACAAAGGCUGUGGCUGCCCUGCUGCUAAGGUGCCCGUGGGGCACUGCGGUGGCCCGUGGCUCCUGUGUGGACAGAGACGACAGCUCAGUGAGCCUGCCCAGAGCCCUGCCCUGCAUUCACCCCGAGAAACACUGGAUGGGCAGAAGAGCCCAGGGAGGCUCCAGGCCCUGCUCUGCACAUCCUGCACCUCCUCCUGCAGAAGGCGAGUCUCCAGGGCCUUGCUCUUGGAGUGGCAACACCCCGCCCUCAGGACCUCCUCCUGUUCCAGGGGUCGGAUAGUGUCCCUCAAACCUCUCUCCAAAGCCUCUGGUGCUGGCCUCAGGUUUGGAAUUCAGCACGCUUUUGUCAUUACUCUCAGGUUGUAAACUUCAGAGGACAAGGACUGUGUUGCUAGCAUCCCGGUAUCCUAAGGAUCCAGGAUAUAAUAGAUCUUCAGUCUAUGUUGAAUGAAUGAAUGAAUGAAUGAAUGAAUGAA